CUCUCUCUCUGUAUCUCUCCCUCUCUGUCUCUCUCUAUCAUUCUACUCAUCCCUCUCUCUUUCUGUCUCUCUCCCUCUCUUUCUCUCUCUCUCUAUCAGUCUGCGCAUCCCCCUCUCUAAUCUGUUUUUCUGUAAUCCUCAUCAACACCCCUCCCCCUGCCCUCUGCUCUUCCUCAUUUUCCCACUCUCCACCUUUCUCCAUCGAAUAAUUAUGCUUUUCUCUUCCUCCUCUUCCUCCUCCUCUUAGGGUUCUUAGUAACUUAUCAAACUAUUUUUUUUUUUUUUGUGUGUUGAUGAAUUUGGUCUUUAAUUUAAUUUAUACUUUUGAAAUGGAUGUCUCCUUUAUCUGAAAUGAAAGCCUUCUACUGCACACACACACACAUACACACACACACACAAGCCCAAGUCCAGGAUAUUUUUGUUGUUGUUUUCAGUCCAUUUAAUCAGAGAAUCUUUCUUCAACAAUAUAUAUGACAUAUAUCAGAGUGGGUGACUGAGUGUAAAUAGAUAUUUUCUUGUGGAUGCUUUAGACACAUAGAGGAUUUGAGAUUUAAAAUAAAAGAUGGCAUGAUGAUAUGAUACCUAUGAAUUUCCCAACGCUGUAAGAUUCAUUUAAAGAGUUAAGUAGUGUCAGGUAAACAGAGUGAAGGGUAAAGGUUAGAGGUUAAGACAGAGUAAUGGUUAGAGUAGAGAUAGAGGCGGCUGGCUAACAGACAGACUUUUAGUAAUGUCAGUUAGUGUGUUUUAUCUUCUGUUCAGUUUGUUGUGGUAGAGCUGCUCUGUUAGCCGCUAGGUCGCUUGGUCCUGGUGUCCUGGUUGGCCAGCUAGCUGUUAACCAUACUGCUAGGUCCUGGUUAGCUAGCUGUUAGUCGCUUGGUCCUGGUUAGCCAGCUAGCUGUUAGCCAUACUGCUAGGUCCUGGUUAGCUAGCUGUUAGCCCCUCGCUUGGUCCUGGUUAGCCAGCUAGCUGUUAGCCAUACUGCUAGGUCCUGGUUAGCUAGCUGUUAGCCCCUAGGUCGCUUGGUCCUGGUUAGCCAGCUAGCUGUUAGCCAUACUGCUAGGUCCUGGUUAGCUAGCUGUUAGCCCCUAGGUCGCUUGGUCCUGGUUAGCCAGCUAGCUGUUAGCCAUACUGCUAGGUCCUGGUUAGCUAGCUGUUAGCCCCUAGGUCCUGGUUAGCUAGCUGUUAGCCACCAGAUCAUAUAGGUCCUGGGUACCUAGCUGUAAGCCAUAUCGCUAGGACACUAGUUGCUAGGUCAGUUUGAAUACCUGUGGUGCAUUUGAAUACUUUAAGGGAAGUGGACGAUAUAUUGAGAUGAUAUUGGGACAAAUUCGGGGUAAUACUGGGGUGAUAUUGGGGCAACACUGGGGUGAUAUUGAGGUAAUAUUGGGGCGAUAUUGGGGCAAUACUGGGGUGAUACUGGGCGAUAUUGGGGUAAUAUUGGGGCAAUACUGGGGCGAUAUUUGGGUAAUAUUGGUGUAAUGUUGGGGUGAUACUGGGUCGAUAUUCAGGUGAUAUUGUGGUGAUACUGGGGCGAUAUUGGUUUGAUACUGGGGCAAUAUUGGGUUGAUACUGGGGUGAAGCAGGGGUGAUACUGGGUCGAUAUUGGGGUAAUACUGGGUUGAUACUGGGGUGGAACGGGUGAUAUUGGGGUAAUACUGGGUCGAUAUUGGGGUGAUACUGGGUCGAUAUUGGGGUAAUACUGGGUCAAUAUUGUGAUACUGGGUUGAUAUUGGGGUGAUACUGGGGUGAAACAGGGGUAAUAUUGGGGUAAUACUGGGUCGAUAUUGAGGUGAUACGGGAUGAUAUUGGGGUAAUACUGGGUUGAUAUUGGGGUGAUACUGGGUCGAUAUCAAGGGGAUUUCUGCUUUUGUCUUUUUUAUUCUGUUUCUCCACUCGUUUAUUUGUGCUGUGUUUGUUUGUGUCAUCAGCUUUGUGGCGGGUUUAGAACACAACAUUGUGUACAGUUACCACGGCAACCAGAGCAUCAGGCCGGAGUCUCGCCCUAACUUCACCACACACCCGCCACUCACACUGUUGUGCCACAUGUGAGCCUUUCGUCUUGCUGUUGGUCAUGCCCCUUUAAUCUCUAAACCAAUCCUUUCCCUUUAAACAGUGAUGCCACUUCCUGGUCUGGGCUGUCUGACCAAUCAGAGCCCAGCCUGUCUCCAUCCCUCCAUCUUAGGAAGAAUUUGUUUUCUUUUCAUUUGUUCUCAGUUCCUUUUCUGUGCAACGUUCAGCAGAUACAAACUAGAUGUGGUUAAUAAUGACAUCAUCUGUAUUACUGCCUCAGAUAUUCCAUGUGGAACCUUCUGAAGAAUAUUGCUGUAAAAACAAGAAAUAAAAAGAUUUUGUGUUUAAAA